GUUAACACCUCUCUUCAGGUGGUAGCGCGUCCGCUUUGCAUGCGGAAGGUCUAGGGUUCGAUCCCCUAGUUGUCCA
rnacentral:tRNA from 1 species